UUGUGAUUCUCAGGAGACAGAACUCUGGGACAUCUCCACCAUGGCCUGGAUCCCUCUCCUUCUCACCCUUCUCUCUGUCGGCACAGGUUCCAUGGCCUCCUAUGUACUGACACAGCCACCCUCAGUGUCAGUGACUCCAGGUCAGACGGCUAUAAUCACCUGCUCUGGAGACAAACUCUCUGAAAAAUAUAUUCAUUGGUACCAGCAGAAGUCUGCUCAGUCCCCUGUGCUGGUGAUUUAUGAGGACAGUGAGAGGCCUUCAGGGAUCCCUGACCGAUUCUCUGGCUCCAGCUCAGGGAACACAGCCACCCUGACUAUCAGCAGGGUCCAGGCUGAAGAUGAGGCUGAUUAUUACUGUCAAAGUUGGGACAGCAAUGCUGAAGCACACAAUGAUUCAGGCAGAUGGAGAAGUGAGACACAAACACUUUCCUUGUCUGUUUCACGUUCUUAUAGUCUUCAGGAGGACUGGCAGUAAAGCCAUAAGAAAGUCUGGCCCAGCUUAUACCGAUCUGAGGCCCCUAGACUGCCCUUUCCUUCCAGUUCUCUAGGUAGGCUCUGCAGAGGGGGUAUCAUGAGUGGAUUUAUGGGUGACAUAUCAGGCUGUCCUGGUGAGUUUUUGGCUUGGGUGUGUGUCAAGGAUAGAGGACCUAAGUGGGAGGACAGAUACAGGUCAAUGAACUCUGUUCUUGAUCCCUGAAUUUACAUUUUGUGUAGACUGGGCCACUUUUAGGUCCAUAUGACCUGGAUUAAUCAGAAGUAUCCAGCCCUUGAAAAGCUCCUGAAGCCCCAAGCUCAUAGGAAGCCUAUGGAUCUGAACUGAGCAAACCAGUAUAGUGGGCCCUGUGGUAUCUCCUCAGGUACUCCUCUGUCAGGCUGGCCCACCCAUUCCCACACAGGGUGAUUCUGGUCUGAUUGCUGCCUGAAAAAUCAAGUUGCCUGGCUCUGCCUCUGUAGGAAUCCAGUUUCAUGAAACUACUGACAUUUUGGUUUCAGCUGUCAUUUUUACCACUAGGUGACCAUGGUAUGCAUUCUAAACCCUAUAGAAUAAACAGCCAUUAAUACAGUGUG